rnacentral:rRNA from 1 species
GAUGAACGCUGACAGAAUGCUUAACACAUGCAAGUCAACUUGAACUUCGGUUUGGGUGGCGGACGGGUGAGUAACGCGUAAAGAACUUGCCUCACAGUUAGGGACAACAUUUGGAAACGAAUGCUAAUACCUGAUAUUAUGAUUUUAGGGCGUCCUAGAAUUAUGAAAGCUAUAUGCGCUGUGAGAGAGCUUUGCGUCCCAUUAGCUAGUUGGAGAGGUAACGGCUCACCAAGGCGAUGAUGGGUAGCCGGCCUGAGAGGGUGAACGGCCACAAGGGGACUGAGACACGGCCCUUACUCCUACGGGAGGCAGCAGUGGGGAAUAUUGGACAAUGGACCAAGAGUCUGAACCAGCAAUUCUGUGUGCACGAUGAAGUUUUUCGGAAUGUAAAGUGCUUUCAGUUGGGAAGAAAAAAAUGACGGUACCAACAGAAGAAGUGACGGCUAAAUACGUG